GGGAUCCUCUGGGUGGGGCGGAGGGGGGGUGGCGCGCAGGAAUUGGCCACGCGUUUUGACCGGAGACGUUCAACAGUUGAAACCCGUUCCCUUUCCUUUCUCGUAAGCAAUCUAUUCCUCCACGUAUAUUUAUAACAAUCAUCAUCAUCAACAACAACUCAAGCAAACACGUGUUCGAAGUGGGGUUUUUUUUGUCCUUUACAAAAUUAUCCCGCGCUGGGAAACACCCUUCGUUUUUAACCGUGAGUUAUGCGCAGACGAUGCAGCACCCGUUCGUUCAUCACCGCCAUCGGCGUCAGCCAUGCUCAAUCCACUGCUGACUGAAGAAGGGUCCUCGCGAAGCCGCCCUCCGACGAUGCAGCAAUCCACGUGGCAAUCCUCCUGAAUGACACGAGCUGAUUCCAUCGCUCCAUCUCAUACGCAUGUACGUACAUAUAUACCAUUAACAUAUAACUGCCUCUCACACGCGCCCCGCUCCUACCUUGGCAGUCACUCCGUCAUUAGUCUCGACCCUGCGGUUCCAUCGACCGAGGCAGAACCCGCGUCGCUCAGUGGCGCUUUGCUCGCGUUUAAGAGGUGCAUGCUCUGCGAACUAACAUGCGAUAACAUUGCAUACAUACGCGAGUGUGCGCAUUUGUCAGUGUGUGAUAUUCGCUGCGUGCAUAUAAUAACGCAGGCGCCGCUAGCGAGAUUGUUAACGUCGCAGGAUCUCGGGAGAUGGCUACAGGCUUGGAGGCAUUACCAUCCAGCAGUGGAUUGACCACGUCUGCUGAGACUACUGAUGAUGACGAUGACGCAAUGCUAGCCCGUUCCUGUCCGUUCUCCUGUCCGUCUUAAAUGGUGUUAUUUUCUCAAACGCAAUAGCCCAACUCGCUCUGUGUGCGUGUAUGUGUGUGUGUGUGUGCGUGUAUGUGUGCUGGUGUUGUGUCUCCUCUCGCUCUCUCUUACCGUGAUUGAUAAGGCCCAAGGGGGAAUGCAAAAAAAAGAAGGGGUAAAAAAAAUGAGCGCAUCUCAUUGAGUUGGAAUAACAAAUGAGGGUGGCGGCUGUCCGGGACGCGCCCGAUGCCUCCUCUCGUUUUCUCUGUUGCAUUUUCAAAACUCGAGGAAUUGCAUCCCACGUGCGUUGCUGGCGUGCGAUGAAGGUUGAUCAACCACCCACCCCCCCACUCACCUACUCGCCCCCCCCCACCACCACCAUCACCAACAAACAAGAAAACUCAACCACCCAUAUUGCUGCCUUCAACACACAUCGACCCGUUUACAGGCGACAUUUACGGUGGCAAGCCACAUCAUAACGUGCAUCGUAACGCCACGCUGCUCAUGCGUAUGCAUUCAUACAGAAGACGCCGAUUGCAUAGAGCGCGUAAGUACACGCGUGCGUAUAUACACACACACCGCACAGCAGCAACACACAGCGAGCCGAGAGGAACCAUUCACAUCUCACCGCCCCGCUGAUAAGGAUGAAGGCAUCUCGGAAGCCGUCUCCAAACUCCUCACUGUCUUGCCGUGUAAACGAACCAUCUAAACUUCUGCUGCUCCAUCUCACCCGGUGGGCGUAUUCGCGGGCACGUUCCCUCCUUUGGUCUGCCACUCUGCCGUCAAUCUUCACCUGCCUUGCCAAGGACCACGGCUUGUCACGGCCGUGACCACAAAGCCCACCACCCCGACCUGACGUCGGCCGGCACACUCUUCGCCGCACACCCUCCUCCUCCUCCUCCUCCUCCAUCGCCUCCGACGCAUCUCGUGGCACGGGAUUCCUCGCAAAACGAUCAACGGCGGCGGCGGCGGCGACGCCGAGCUUGCAACGAGAACGCGCGCGGGCGGGAGCGCCGCACGCAACGAGGUUUCAGCCAAGACGCUGUAACACGGCGAGGACUUCGCCGCGAUUGACUCUGCAUCAAGUGCGAGCAUCCGUGGUUCACGCAUUGCCGGGCGGAUGAAAUCAACUCGGCAUCAAUGUUUCAAGCAUCAGGUCAUGGGGACUAUUUGGCCAUACUUCGGCACGCUUGGUCAGCGCGGGGCGGUGAAGACCGGCAGUGUAAAUUUUUGCCGAGGGCAUCUCGCGGAGUGGAGGAGCAGGGAGAGAAGUGAGGAGGCGUGGGAUGAGAGGCGCCCAACAUCUGCAGGGGCUCCAUUGGCACGCGCAAGCCUAAAACAAAGACACGGUGACCCCAAGCGCGUUAACGUCUUCAUUUUCUUCGGCAAUAUUUCACUUUGGGUCCCUUUUUAUUGAUUGAUAAUAAUAAAAAAAAAACUUUCAUUGCGUCGACAUCAUUUUUAUUCUCCCGGCGAGUGAGAGCAAGUGCGUGUUUGUUAUACACUCGUAAAAAAAUAAACGAUAGUAAAUUAAUAGCGAACAAAAAAACGCUCGCCGCGAAUUCUUUUGCGUUUUGUUUUUUUCAAUACACAAACUAAACUGACCACCAGAUGUUAUCGUGCAUUGCAGCUGCUUGAUAUUGUGUUCUUUUUUUGCGUAGCUCAAAGAAGCAUUAAAACAAAACAUAAUAACGUCUGGAAAAAAACUCCCCCUGCACAUUGCACCCAUCAAUAAAUCUGUUAACAAAGCACAAGGCUCAAAA